UUAAGUGAUGAUAGCCUAGGAGAUACACCUGUACCCAUGCCGAACACAGAAGUUAAGCCCUAGAACGCCGGAAGUAGUUGGGGGUUGCCCCCUGUGAGAUAUGGUAGUCGCUUAGC
rnacentral:rRNA from 2 species